UCCGCAAGAGGACGGAAAGGCAUCCGUCACCCUGCGUUCCAGUUCGGGAGCGCGCGCCAGGGAGAUGCGUCCGGUGCCUCUGACGCCUUGCGAA
rnacentral:ncRNA from 1 species